rnacentral:rRNA from 1 species
CACCAAACCCUGGGGGGUUAGUGGCGCCGGGUGCGUAACGCGUGGGAACCUGCCUUUAGGUUCGGAAUAACUCAGAGAAAUUUGAGCUAAUACCGGAUAAUGUCUUCGGACCAAAGAUUUAUCGCCUUUAGAUGGGCCCGCGUUAGAUUAAAUAGUUGGUGGGGUAAUGGCCUACCAAGUCGACGAUCUAUAGCUGGUCUGAGAGGAUGAUCAGCCACACUGGGACUGAGACACGGCCCAGACUCCUACGGGAGGCAGCAGUGGGGAAUAUUGGACAAUGGGCGAAAGCCUGAUCCAGCAAUGCCGCGUGAGUGAUGAAGGCCUUAGGGUUGUAAAGCUCUUUUACUAGGGAUGAUAAUGACAGUACCUAGAGAAUAAGCUCCGGCUAACUCCGUGCCAGCAGCCGCGGUAAUACGGAGGGAGCUAGCGUUGUUCGGAAUUACUGGGCGUAAAGCGCGCGUAGGCGGCUUAUCAAGUCAGGGGUGAAAUCCCGGAGCUCAACUCCGGAACUGCCCUUGAAACUGGUUGGCUAGAAUAUUGGAGAGGUAAGUGGAAUUCCGAGUGUAGAGGUGAAAUUCGUAGAUAUUCGGAAGAACACCAGUGGCGAAGGCGACGUACUGGACAAUUAUUGACGCUGAGGUGCGAGAGC